GACGAACGCUGGCGGCGUGCUUAACACAUGCCAGUCGAACGGAAAGGCCCUGCUUUUGUGGGGUGCUCGAGUGGCGAACGGGUGAGUAACACGUGAGUAACCUGCCCUUGACUUUGGGAUAACUUCAGGAAACUGGGGCUAAUACCGGAUAGGAACUCCUGCUGCAUGGUGGGGGUUGGAAAGUUUCGGCGGUUGGGGAUGGACUCGCGGCUUAUCAGCUUGUUGGUGGGGUAGUGGCUUACCAAGGCUUUGACGGGUAGCCGGCCUGAGAAGGUGACCGGCCACAUUGGGACUGAGAUACGGCCCAGACUCCUACGGGAGGCAGCAGUGGGGAAUAUUGCACAAUGGGCGGAAGCCUGAUGCAGCAACGCCGCGUGCGGGAUGACGGCCUUCGGGUUGUAAACCGCUUUCGCCUGUGACGAAGCGUGAGUGACGGUAAUGGGUAAAGAAGCACCGGCUAACUACGUG
rnacentral:rRNA from 1 species